UACGGGGGGGGCAAGCGUUGUUCGGAAUUACUGGGCGUAAAGGGCUCGUAGGCGGCCAACUAAGUCAGACGUGAAAUCCCUCGGCUUAACCGGGGAACUGCGUCUGAUACUGGAUGGCUUGAGUUUGGGAGAGGGAUGCGGAAUUCCAGGUGUAGCGGUGAAAUGCGUAGAGAUCGGCAGGAACACCCGUGGCGGAAGCGGCCACCUAGCCCGCACCUGACGCUGAGGCGCGACAGCGUGGGGAGCGAACGGG
rnacentral:rRNA from 1 species